AUAGUUGAUCUUUCAAAGAUAACGCGUUCACUUAUAAAAAUGCGGUUCACAAAAUGUACCCAAAACUAAAUAGUUAUAAAAAAAAUACAUGUAACAAGCAAUACUAAAUCGACAGUCAUGGCAAGGGACGUUUUCCAUGAUUGGAUGUUCUUUGGUUUUUCAUUCUGGUUCUCUUACAAAUUCUUCCAGAGAGUUAUAGAAAGGUAUGGGUCCCAUUCCCCUCAUCAGUUUGUGGAGGCGACGCCUGACAAGAAAAAAAAGUUAAAUCCCGAUGAUGACUAACUAGAGUUAUAGAAAGGUAUGGGUCCCAUUCCCCUCAUCAGUUUGUGGAGGCGACGCCUGACAAGAAAAAAAAGUUAAAUCCCGAUGAUGACUAACUGAUAUGUGUUCAAAGGCUGCGGAGGUGGUGGAAUGUGGUAGAAAUACGGAGGCGUGUAGAGCAUGUCAUCAAUCCCGGCUAUGGGCGUUCCUCUCGAUGGAACCAUAGAGCGCACUGUACCGUAUAAGUUCCUGUUACGUCCCUGUUUCCCGUACAUGUUCAUCAUCACACCGAAUUCACACUGGCUCGACAGUUUUGUACCUUUGCACGUUCACGUUCAAGAUGAAGUUCAUAAAAACGCCCGAAAAUUAAACAGAUAAUCGUGAAGACCACAUUUGGUGACAAGCGCAGUUAAUAAUCCUCUUCAUCUCGCCAAAAGGUUUGGUGGACCCGGACAUUGUAAACGAAGAAGGCAGUAGUCAACACAAGUAUUUCUACAGCAAACCAGAACAAAUUGCCAAGUCAAUGAGAAAAGUGCUCGA